rnacentral:rRNA from 1 species
GGGUGAGUAACACGUGGAUAACCUACCUAUAAGGCUGGGAUAACUUCGGGAAACCGGAGCUAAUACCGGAUAAUAUUUUGAACCGCAUGGUUCAAAAGUGAAAGACGGUCUUGCUGUCACUUAUAGAUGGAUCCGCGCUGCAUUAGCUAGUUGGUAAGGUAACGGCUUACCAAGGCAACGAUGCAUAGCCGACCUGAGAGGGUGAUCGGCCACACUGGAACUGAGACACGGUCCAG